rnacentral:rRNA from 1 species
UACGUAGGUGGCAAGCGUUGUCCGGAUUUACUGGGCGUAAAAGAGCGCGCAGGCGGUCGAAUAAGUCGAAUGUGAAAGCCCCCGGCUUAACUGGGGAGGAUCAUUCGAUACUGCUCGACUUGAAGGCAGGAGAGGGAAGUGGAAUUCCCGGUGUAGUGGUGAAAUGCGUAGAUAUCGGGAGGAGCACCAGUGGCGAAGGCGACUUCCUGGCCUGUUCUUGACGUGAGGCGCGAAAGCUGGGGGGGAGCAAAACGGGG